rnacentral:rRNA from 1 species
UUUAGAGGAAGGAGAAGUCGUAACAAGGUUUCCGUAGGUGAACCUGCGGAAGGAUCAUUGUCGAAACCUGCAUAGCAGAACGACUCGUGAACAAGUAAGACAACACUUGGGUGACCUCUGGGGCCUUCGGGUGCCAUUGCGAACCUAAAUGGCUGAGUCGUGCCAUGUCAGGCUAGGCUUCGGCCUGUUUCACAUGCACUGCUCAGUCUAACAACCAACCCCGGCGCAAGACGCGCCAAGGAAAACAAAAAAUGAAAGAGAAGGCGCGUCUGACCGGUCCCGGCUUCGGGAUCCCGGAAAGAACGUUGUCCUCUUUUCUUAAAAAAAACGACUCUCGGCAACGGAUAUCUCGGCUCUCGCAUCGAUGAAGAACGCAGCGAAAUGCGAUACUUGGUGUGAAUUGCAGAAUCCCGCGAACCAUCGAGUUUUUGAACGCAAGUUGCGCCCAAAGCCUUUCGGCCGAGGGCACGUCUGCCUGGGUGUCACGCAACAUCGCUCCCAACCCAUUAGGGUGCGGAAUAUGGCCUCCCGUGCGAUUCCCUCUCGCGGUUGGCCGAAAAGAAUGGUCCUCGGCUACGAAUGCCGCGACAAUCGGUGGUUGCAAGACCCUCGGACACAGUCGCGCGCACGUAUGCCUUUGGAUGACGAGACCCCUCUGCGUCUGCGUCCUUCGUGGCAUGCUCACAUCGCGACCCCAGGUCAGGCGGGAUUACCCGCUGAGUUU